AGAGUGUUUGAGACAUCACCAGAAUCUACAGCCUCUGCUGGUGCUCCUGGGUUCAGCUUCUAGCAUUACAGGUGUGCUAGCUUGUCUCCAAGAUGGCACCCAUGAGCCCUAAAUUCCUGGAUUGAUGCUCUUGCCUAGUCCUCUAUUGUGUCAUAUCAGGAUUGUUCCAAGUAACCAAUAGAACACAGCAGAGGUGAUGGCAUGUCACAAAGUUAGGUCAUAAAGGACAUCAUGGUUUCCAUGUUGCUGGCUUCCUCUUAGAUAAUUUUCUCUGGAGGAAACCCAACUGUGUGUUGUGAGAAGAUUUAAGCCAUCCAGGGGAGAGAUCCACAUGAUAGUGGGACUCUGUGCUCAUGCCAGUAAGUAAAGAAGAAGGAGUAAGAAAGACACUGUGUGAUCUAGUAUUAAUAAGGAAGUAAGUGAUCAAGUUACUCCAGCUAGAUCAGUAGAAUCUAUUAUCAAGCACGUUGAGGCCGACAGCAUUCACAAAUUAACUGUCUACGUUUAUACUCACUGAUGACUCGUGUUUCCUUUCGAGGACAAGUAAGCUUUUUAAAUGAUCAAGACGUUUACAUUAGUUUUGCUCUUCAAUGGCUUUUCUCAAAAAAGAUCCAAAGGCAAAAGUUAAAUUUAAAAGAGCUUUCCAUGUGACUACCCCAAAGAGAGAUUAUCAAUCACCAAAUUAAAUAUUUGUAUACAAAAUAAUAUCUGGAUGCAUAGAUCCUUAUGUUCAUCAGAUGAAGAGUGAAAGACUUAUUAGUCACCACGCUUUAUUUACACCCCUGUCAAAAUUACAUGAAAAUAUUUCUCUCCAAAGAACCAUUCUAGAGAACCCUUUCAUACAAAGUGGUGUGUGUACAUCUAAGAGCUUGCUCAGUUUAGCUCAAAGGCUAAAGAGUUUAGUAAACUGAGUUCCACCACCUCAUGACUUUUAAGUGGUACGUUACCACCAGAAAGAGACGACUUCAAGCACAGAUUUCUAGCAGCAAGGCCAGGAUUAAAAACCCAUGUGACAACAGGCUUCAGAGAGAGGAACAAUCCAUUCCUAAUUCAAAGGCCAUCAAGCCCGAGUUGUAAGAACAUUUUUGACUCUGAGGAUCUUCUCUUUUCACCAAGAAAAUCCCUUACAGCCAUGGUUUAACAUUCCUAAAUUAAGAAAUAGAAGAAACCAAAUUAAUUUUUAAUUUAUACUCCACUUUUUUAUGUUUUCAAUCGUCCACUACUGCAAGAUGUACACUGAACGGUACAAGUCAUGCGCAUCAUUUUCAUCAGACAACCUCAUCUACCAAAAUGGUGAUAACACAAUCUUAUUUUGAAGCCAAAAGAGAGUUAUAAACAUCAAUCGUUUUCAGAUAUGCUUUAAAAAUGUUCAAAAGUAACAUCAUUAUUUUAAGUUACAGCACAAUCAUUAAAGGAAAAAAGAACCCAAGAACAAAUAAAAUUCGUUAUUAUUUUAGUUACUUUUAGUGGGAAAAAUAAAACAAGAUUUGGAUUUUCAGCCAGGAUAAAGUAAAAAGACUCUUGCCAGAUGUCCAUUUUCUCAUUAAUGAACUACUUGAGACUGUACUCCUGGGUCAACUUAUUUCUGCUUCUCCUGUCUCUAGACCUAUCUUAAUUAUAUUUGUGUCUCAGGAUCCAUGACAUCGAUUUAAACAAACCCAUGGGCAAAUCUAAACACUGACCACACAGUGUCCAGUUUAUUCAUUUCUCUACAAAAUGACAGAAAUUCAGCCUUUAAUCAGAAGUUGAUUCUACCUAAAUUCCUAAUAAAACUAAUAAAAUGAA